GUGUCAGCAGCCGCGGUAAUACGUAGGGUCCGAGCGUUAAUCGGAAUUACUGGGCGUAAAGCGUGCGCAGGCGGUUUUGUAAGCCAGAUGUGAAAGCCCCGGGCUUAACCUGGGAAUGGCAUUUGGGACUGCAAGGCUGGAGUACGGCAGAGGGAGGUGGAAUUCCACGUGUAGCAGUGAAAUGCGUAGAGAUGUGGAGGAACACCGAUGGCGAAGGCAGCCUCCUGGGCUAGUACUGACGCUCAUGCACGAAAGCGUGGGGAGCAAACAGGAUUAGAUACCCGGGUAGUCC
rnacentral:rRNA from 1 species